GAUGAACGCUGGCGGCGUGCCUAAUACAUGCAAGUCGAGCGAACAGACGAGGAGCUUGCUCCUCUGACGUUAGCGGCGGACGGGUGAGUAACACGUGGAUAACCUACCUAUAAGACUGGGAUAACUUCGGGAAACCGGAGCUAAUACCGGAUAAUAUAUUGAACCGCAUGGUUCAAUAGUGAAAGACGGUUUUGCUGUCACUUAUAGAUGGAUCCGCGCCGCAUUAGCUAGUUGGUAAGGUAACGGCUUACCAAGGCGACGAUGCGUAGCCGACCUGAGAGGGUGAUCGGCAACACUGGAACUGAGACACGGUCCAGACUCCUACGGGAGGCAGCAGUAGGGAAUCUUCCGCAAUGGGCGAAAGCCUGACGGAGCAACGCCGCGUGAGUGAUGAAGGUCUUCGGAUAGUAAAACUCUGUUAUUAGGGAAGAACAAAUGAGUAAGUAACUAUGCACGUCUUGACGGUACCUAAUCAGAAAGCCACGGCUAACUACGUG
rnacentral:rRNA from 1 species